rnacentral:misc_RNA from 1 species
GAUGUAGAACGUAGCGAAAUGCGAUAAGUAGUGUGAAUUGCAGAAUUCAGUGAAUCAUCGAAUCUUUGAACGCACAUUGCGCCCCAUGGUAUUCCGUGGGGCAUGCCUGUUCGAGCGUCAUUUACCCCCUCAAGCUCCGCUUGGUGUUGGGCGUCUGUCCCGCUUCGCGCGCGGACUCGCCCCAAAGGUAUUGGCAGCGGUCGUGCCAGCUUCUCGCGCAGCACAUUGCGCUUCUCGAGGCACCGGUGGGCCCGCGUCCAUCAAGCUCACCCCCCCAGUUUGACCUCGGAUCAGGUAGGGAUACCCGCUGAACUUAAGCAUAUCAAUAAGCGGAGGA